AGAGUUUGAUCAUGGCUCAGAUUGAACGCUGGCGGCAGGCCUAACACAUGCAAGUCGAGCGGUAGCACAGAGAGCUUGCUCUCGGGUGACGAGCGGCGGACGGGUGAGUAAUGUCUGGGAAACUGCCUGAUGGAGGGGGAUAACUACUGGAAACGGUAGCUAAUACCGCAUAACGUCGCAAGACCAAAGUGGGGGACCUUCGGGCCUCAUGCCAUCAGAUGUGCCCAGAUGGGAUUAGCUAGUAGGUGGGGUAACGGCUCACCUAGGCGACGAUCCCUAGCUGGUCUGAGAGGAUGACCAGCCACACUGGAACUGAGACACGGUCCAGACUCCUACGGGAGGCAGCAGUGGGGAAUAUUGCACAAUGGGCGCAAGCCUGAUGCAGCCAUGCCGCGUGUGUGAAGAAGGCCUUCGGGUUGUAAAGCACUUUCAGCGGGGAGGAAGGCGAUAAGGUUAAUAACCUCAUCGAUUGACGUUACCCGCAGAAGAAGCACCGGCUAACUCCGUGCCAGCAGCCGCGGUAAUACGGAGGGUGCAAGCGUUAAUCGGAAUUACUGGGCGUAAAGCGCACGCAGGCGGUCUGUCAAGUCGGAUGUGAAAUCCCCGGGCUCAACCUGGGAACUGCAUUCGAAACUGGCAGGCUAGAGUCUUGUAGAGGGGGGUAGAAUUCCAGGUGUAGCGGUGAAAUGCGUAGAGAUCUGGAGGAAUACCGGUGGCGAAGGCGGCCCCCUGGACAAAGACUGACGCUCAGGUGCGAAAGCGUGGGGAGCAAACAGGAUUAGAUACCCUGGUAGUCCACGCCGUAAACGAUGUCGAUUUGGAGGUUGUGCCCUUGAGGCGUGGCUUCCGGAGCUAACGCGUUAAAUCGACCGCCUGGGGAGUACGGCCGCAAGGUUAAAACUCAAAUGAAUUGACGGGGGCCCGCACAAGCGGUGGAGCAUGUGGUUUAAUUCGAUGCAACGCGAAGAACCUUACCUGGUCUUGACAUCCACAGAACUUUCCAGAGAUGGAUUGGUGCCUUCGGGAACUGUGAGACAGGUGCUGCAUGGCUGUCGUCAGCUCGUGUUGUGAAAUGUUGGGUUAAGUCCCGCAACGAGCGCAACCCUUAUCCUUUGUUGCCAGCGGUUCGGCCGGGAACUCAAAGGAGACUGCCAGUGAUAAACUGGAGGAAGGUGGGGAUGACGUCAAGUCAUCAUGGCCCUUACGACCAGGGCUACACACGUGCUACAAUGGCAUAUACAAAGAGAAGCGACCUCGCGAGAGCAAGCGGACCUCAUAAAGUAUGUCGUAGUCCGGAUUGGAGUCUGCAACUCGACUCCAUGAAGUCGGAAUCGCUAGUAAUCGUAGAUCAGAAUGCUACGGUGAAUACGUUCCCGGGCCUUGUACACACCGCCCGUCACACCAUGGGAGUGGGUUGCAAAAGAAGUAGGUAGCUUAACCUUCGGGAGGGCGCUUACCACUUUGUGAUUCAUGACUGGGGUGAAGUCGUAACAAGGUAACCGUAGGGGAACCUGCGGUUGGAUCACCU
rnacentral:rRNA from 2 species